rnacentral:rRNA from 1 species
AGAGUUUGAUCCUGGCUCAGGAUGAACGCUGGCGGCAGGCUUAAUACAUGCAAGUCGAACGGUAACGACCGGUAGCAAUACUGGGGCGACGAGUGGCGCACGGGUGCGUAACGCGUAUGCAACCUGCCCUCAACCGGGACAUAACGCCGAGAAAUUGGCGCUAAUAUCCCAUGUGUAUGUGAGGCGGCAUCGUCUUACAUAUAAAGAUUCAUUGGUUGAGGAUGGGCAUGCGUAACAUUAGCUGGUUGGCGGGGUAACGGCCCACCAAGGCGACGAUGUUUAGGGGUUCUGAGAGGAUUCACCCCCACACUGGAACUGAGACACGGUCCAGACUCCUACGGGAGGCAGCAGUAGGGAAUAUUGGGCAAUGGAGGCAACUCUGACCCAGCCAUGCCGCGUGAAGGAAGACGGCCCUAUGGGUUGUAAACUUCUUUUGCCGCAGAGUAACCUCGGGGACGAGUCCCCGACUGAGAGUAUGCGGCGAAUAAGUAUCGGCUAACUCCGUGCCAGCAGCCGCGGUAAUACGGAGGAUACGAGCGUUAUCCGGAUUUAUUGGGUUUAAAGGGUGCGCAGGCGGACCGUUAAGUCAGGGGUGAAAAGUUGGGGCUCAACUCCAAUCGUGCCUUUGAUACUGGCGGACUAGAGUGCAGGGGACGUGACUGGAAUGUGAUGUGUAGCGGUGGAAUGCUUAGAUAUGACGAAGAACUCCGAUUGCGAAGGCAGCCUUCUGGGGUGCGAUUGACGCUGAGGCUCGAAAGUGCGGGUAUCAAACAGGAUUAGAUACCCUGGUAGUCCGCACAGUAAACGAUGAAUGCUCGUUCUUGGUGAUAUACUAUCAGGAACCAAGGGAAACCAUUAAGCAUUCCACCUGGGGAGUACGCCGGCAACGGUGAAACUCAAAGGAAUUGACGGGGGCCCGCACAAGCGGAGGAACAUGUGGUUUAAUUCGAUGAUACGCGAGGAACCUUACCCGGGCUUGAAUUGCAGAGGAAAGAUCCAGAGAUGGUGAUGCCCUUCGGGGCCUCUGUGAAGGUGCUGCAUGGUUGUCGUCAGCUCGUGCCGUGAGGUGUCGGCUUAAGUGCCAUAACGAGCGCAACCCUUGUCAUCAGUUACCAUCAGGUAGUGCUGGGAACUCUGGUGAGACUGCCAUCGCAAGAUGUGAGGAAGGUGGGGAUGACGUCAAAUCAGCACGGCCCUUACGUCCGGGGCUACACACGUGUUACAAUGGGGGGUACAGAAUGCUGCUGGGUGGCGACACCCGGCCAAUCAUAAAAACCCUUCUCAGUUCGGACUGGAGUCUG